rnacentral:tRNA from 1 species
GAGGGCAUAGCUCAGUGGUAGAGCACGUGCUUAGCAUGCACGAGGUCCUGGGUUCAAUCCCCAGUCCCUCCG